rnacentral:lncRNA from 1 species
AUGACCCAACAGUUCACUGCCUAUGAGAGCACGAGGUGUGGAACAUAAGGCUGCCACUAGUGUUGAACUGCUACAGCUGCAAGAAGCUACAACAGGAUUUGGGCACUUGGAAAACACAAAGCUGGGGUGGGAAGGCAAGGCUGGAAACAGACACCAUUAAUCAUCCCUCUGCCAAGAUCUUCUUCCCACACCAGGCUUUACUGUACAUUCCUUGCAUUUCCAUACCAUGAUGUCAGUCCAGC